GACUCUGCACGCCUGCUCACCCUUCGGCGGCCGGAGAAGCUACAACAGCGGGGGCGAGCUCCUUGUUGAGCCCCCUGCCGAGCUGACUUUUUAAUAAAGAGCUGACUAUUAAUAAAGGCAUAGACCCCGUUCAUUUCAAUUUGGGGGCUCGGUCCGGGAUAGCCACGCCCAAAGAGGAACCCUGGACAGCUGGACAGCGCGACCACCUGCUUCGAGGGACCCUCGGGAUUUGCUGGCUACCGGACCCUAGGAUCAGCGUGAGACGGGCCACGCGGAGGAGCAACGCAGACGAGCCACGGGAGCCGGCAUCUCGGACCCCCUAAGUGAGAGGGACCCCCUAGUACCGCGUUUUUGGAUUCCUGCGAAGGGGCCGGCUGGGAACGGGGGAAAGCGAGUGGAACAGAGUGACUGAGGCCUCUCCUUAGAGGUAAAGGACCUCCUCUGGGCAUGUGGAGAUUCUCUAGGGAUAAAGUAAGUCCCUGGCAAUCAGGGCAAGGGAGUUGUCCACAGCAGGGAAGGUGGGAUGUCCCUGGCAGGAAGGGGGCAUGUCCUGGCAUACAGGGGCAUGUCCUGGCAGAUAGGGCAUAGGUCCUGGCAAGAAGAGGGCGUGUCCUGGCAGGCAUGGUUAUGUCCUGGCAGGCAGGGGGCAUGUCCUAGUAGGCAGAGGGCAUGCCCCAACAGGCAAGGGGUAUGUCCUAGCAGGAAGGGAACAUGUUCUGGUAGGCAGGGGACAUGUCCUAGCAGGCAGGGGCAUGUCCUGGGAAGAAGAGGGCAUGUUCUGGCAGACAGGCAGGGGGCAUGUCCUGGCAGGCAGCAGGCAUGUCCUGGGAGACAGGGCAUGUCCUGGCAGCCAGAGGGCGUGCCCUAACAGGCAAGGGAGCAUGUCCUAGCAGGCAGGGGCAUGUCCUGGGAAGAAGGGGACAUAGGUCCUGGCAAGGGAGGGCAUGUCCUGGCAGGCAGGGUUAUGUCCUGGCAGGCAGCAGGCAUGUCCUGGGAGACAGGGAGCAUGUUCUAACAGGCAGGAGGCAGGUCCUGGCAGGUAGGGCAUGUCCUAACAAGAGGGGGGAAUGUCCUGGCAGGCAGGGGGCAGGUCCCGGAAGGCAGGGUACAUGUUCUGGCAGGCAGGGCCAGGUCCUGGCAGGCAGGGGGCAGGUCCUGACAGCAGGAUCAUGUCCUGGCAGGUAGGGCCAGGCCCUGGCAGACAGGGGGCAUGUCCUGGCAGGUAGGGCAAUUGAUAACAGGCAAAGAACAGGUCCUGGCAAGAAGGGGGCGUGUCCUGGCAGACAGGGGGAAUGUCCUGGCAGGCAGGGAGUAGGUCUUGGCAGGCAGGGUACAUGUUCUGGCAGACAGGAGGCAUGUCGGGGAAGACAGAGUAGGUAAGCAAGUAAGGAAGCGAGUAGAAAGGCAAGCAGGCUAAGCCUAGUAGGGGAGUCAGGCGAAGGGACUUGGCCGGAGUUCGAGUGUAAGGCUCGGCAGGACGUUCGACCUUACCUCGGCAGGGAGACCAAGCUUCCUAAGCCUAGUAAGGAGGUUGGGCAAAAGGCCAAGUAAAGAACUGGGGCGAGACCUACCUAGGGUCCAAGCCUAGAAAGUCCAUCAAGAAGUCCAGAAAGAACAGGAAAACAAAAGACAAUAUAUGUGAGUAUGAUUAGUGGUUAUCCUAGGCAAGUGACAGAGAUAAAUGCCAAGAGUGGGAGGUUAACUAGAAGAGAUUAAGUUCAGUCAAGAGAUUUAAAAUACUAAGUUGUGGGAAGGAGCCAGAUAAACUGUAUUUGCAUAUCUGUAUAUUCCAUUUUAGAGGGGAGCACCAUUUAAGGUAGAUUUUUUCUAUCCUUCUGAGGCCUGGAAAUGGGAAUAAGUUAAAGCAAAGGAGUGGAUCCUUCAAAAGAGAAAGCAAAGAGAAUUCUUCCUAACAUGCCCUUAGGGCAAUUUUUAGACCAACGGGAUUCUUGGGAAACCACAAAGGGUCUAGACAAGAGUACUGAAGUAUGGCCAAAGUUAAAAUUACAGGGAGAGUGGCCAUAGUAUAGAACCCAAGAUCAGUAGAUACAUAAUCAGCUAAACCAACACCUAGAAGCCCUAAGAUUAUAUUUAAAGAAAGAAGAAGAAAAAGCCAAAACUAAAGCUAGACUUAUGGUUGCAGUUGCUUGAGAAAGUAUAAGAGCAGGCAGGUCACCAGCACUGCCAUCUAAGUCAAGUUGGAAUAGACCAGGGCUGUUACCAAAGAAAUAGAGAUCAACCAGCACCAUCAUAUGAAACAAAUAAGAACUUUAAUGACUUUAAGAAACCUGAAGCUUCACCUCCUUCAACAGGAGGUGCUAUUACUGUCGUGAGAUGUGUCUUAUGUUUCAGUUUAAUGAAGCAAUGCAAAAAGAACAAAAAGUCUUAGAAGAGAUUUCAAGGGGAGAUGACUAGGGGUGUUGGGAGUUCAAUAAGCAAAGAGAUAUAAUCAACCAUCAACAAGAGCCCUUGGUAAACUUUAAAGUAAGUCCCCACUAAGAAGAUUUUGAGUUCUUAGUUAACACAAGGGUAGAUAAGUCCAGGACAAGUUACCAGUAAGAGUCAACAUUGGGAAGAAAGUCUGUGAGGUUUUAGGAAUGAAAGGGAAGGCCAAAGUAAUCUCUUAAGAAGAGACUUGCAAGUCCUAUGAAGGGUAAAGAUUAUCCCACAAGAUAAAAGGUAGUUUAAAUCAUGAAUUGACCCACUGGGGAAUCCAAAGUUUGUGCAACCACUUUUUUUUACGGGAGAAUUUAUAUAUUGGCGCGUAUGACCUGGCAAAAGCAAUUACAAGAAGGUGUGCGAUUUGCCUGAAAACUGACCAAAAGGUAAUGAGAAAACAAGCACAUGGGAGAAGAAAACUUGCUUUAAGACCUUUCCAGAACAUACAAGUAGAUUUCACUGAAAUGCCCUCUGUGCAGAGGAACAAGCAUUUACCAGUGAUGGUAAAUCAUCUCACUCAGUGGGUGGAGGCUUUCUCAGCCAAAAAGGAAACUGUGCAAGAAGUCACAACAAUAAUCUUAGAAAAAAUCAUACCUUGAUACGGGCUAGUCAAUAACUUUGACUCAGACUGAGGUCAACAUUUUGUUGCUCAAACUUUGCAUCAAGUAACAAAAGCCCUGGAGAUAAAGUAGAGAUUGCACACCCAAUGGCAUCCUCAAAGCUCGGGAAAGGUAGAAAGAAUGAAUAAAACUCUUAAAAAAAGUAAUAACCAAAUUAAUUAAAGAGACAAAAAUGAAUUAGCUCAAGUGUUUACCUCUUGCUCUCUUGCGCAUCAGACCUCAACCUCGGUCCGACAUGGGGGUUUCUCCUUAUAAAAUGAUGUUCAGACUCCCUUUUCUAACUACCCCUUUCAGUACUGCAGAUUAUUUAAAAGGGGAGGUAGUAACUUAAAAAUAUUUAAAAUCAUAAGAAAAUCCCUAGAAGGCCUCAGAAAGAAGGGGUAUCUUCCCCAAACCUCCCCUCUGGAUACCAAUGCCCACAACAUCAGUCCCGGGGACUGGGCGUUAAUAAAAUCCUGGAACACCACCACUCCACUAACCCCCAAAUUUGAAGGACCUUUCCAGGUGUUACUCACCACACACUGCGAUGUGAACCCAAGAAAAAGGCUGGAUCCAUAUCCCCAGAGUAAAAGGACCAGGACCAUCCCCAGACGCCAAACCAGACCCAACAGUGUCACCCACCUCCUCUUGUGCAGAAACGGUAUUGCUAGAAGCUGAUAUACGAGGACGAGACUGGACUGGGCUGUGGGAAGCAGGAGCAAAGCAGUCAGACACUUCCUGGUGCUGCCAGGAGGGAAGGAGAGGGACAGCUGCUGCUGGGCUUUGGCAGCAGGCUCUGCGCAUCCCCCCACCCUGCAGCCACCAGUGUGCCGGGAGGAAAGGAGAGAGGACGGUCUGCUGGGACUUCAGAUACGGAUUGCACACCUCUUCACCUCCAGCUACCAGCGUGCCACGGAGACUCCAGGGACAGACUCUGCACGCCUGCUCACCCUUCGGCGGCCGGAGAAGCUACAACAGCGGGGGCGAGCUCCUUGUUGAGCCCCCUGCCGAGCUGACUUUUUAAUAAAGAGCUGACUAUUAAUAAAGGCAUAGACCCCGUUCAUUUCAAUUGGGAA